rnacentral:rRNA from 1 species
CACGUAGGGUGCGAGCGUUGUUCGGAAUUAUUGGGCGUAAAGCGCGUGUAGGCGGCUUUGCAAGUCGGGUGUGAAAGCCCUCAGCUCAACUGAGGAAGUGCGCCCGAAACUGCAGAGCUUGAGUGCCGGAGAGGGUGGCGGAAUUCCCCAAGUAGAGGUGAAAUUCGUAGAUAUGGGGAGGAACACCGGUGGCGAAGGCGGAUCUCUGGGCCUGUCCUGACGCUGAGGCGCGAAAGCUAGGGGAGCGAACAGG